ACCCGGAGUUCGCUGGGAGAAAAACUUGGUGGGGAGACGCCCUUCCCCCCCUACGCGGGACGGGAAGGAUGCAACCUGCUGGAGGAACGCGUGUAAUGCGGUGGUAAUCGCGCUGCACCACCCUAGCACUUAAUAAUUGCCUGUUAAAUGGAUGAGUGAAUUAAUUUCUAUAGUGUUACAAUACUUUCACACCCAUCGUCUGACUCCUUCCGACAGCACAGCGAGGCAGGUACGGAUCAUUCCCAUUUUGCAGAUUACUGGUGUUUCCUCAAGUGACCACUUGUGUCAUAAAAACUUGGAAAAUGGACUGACAUGCAGAUCCGUGGGCCACUCUCCAGCCCCACUGAAUCAGACACUUUGAGGUGGAUUUCAGAAAGGAUACACUCGCCAGCACUUUUGCCACGAGAGUACACUGAACAAAGGAGACAGGGUCAUCUAUAACCUGACGCGUCCACCUUCCUGCUGUGUCCGGUUUUUAUUGGCUGGAACGGGACCUCACAUUUUGUAUUUGUCCUGAUUGGCUAGUAACUUAGAACUUUUUAAAAGAGGCAAAG
rnacentral:lncRNA from 1 species